UGAAUAAUUUUCAUAAUUCAUGUGUUCUAUAGACUAUAGCAUAAAAUAAACAAAAUAUGUUGAUUAUUUUUAAAGAAUUUGUUUUAAAUUUAUUUUAUAAAAUUAAAACUAUUUAGAGAAAUGGUUUUUCGCUAGAAGCAUAUACGUUCGCAAGAAGCAGAUAGACAAUAAAAAGGGUUUUAUAAGCAAGCUCUAUGAUCGUACCUAAUCAGGUACGAUAGCCUUUUAUAUGUUCGCAAGAAGCAGAUAUACAAUAAAAAGGUUUCGUGCUCGUGAGGAACGUUAGAUGGCCGUAGAGGUACUAACUUGUAUGUGGGUGUAUUUGUCUGUUUAGAAAGACAAUGGAGAUGAGCCUAAUGAUAAAUGUUCAUAUAACUUUUACCUUUGCUCGUUGAUUUGGUUCGCUAGUAAUGUGAUUGUUUAAUUCCCUUGUCAGAGUUAUUGUUGUUGGUCCUCUCAACAUUUAAAGCGAGUGUCUCGAGGAUGAGACCGAGGGAACAUGACCCUUGUUCCCCUUAAGGGUUUAUUUCAGCAUUUCUUUUCGAGGUUCUAUUGUAGCCAUUAGUCUGAUCCUGACGUUUUUAGUGUUUGUUGGAUCAUUUCCAAAAUCGUUGGAUGGUUCAAGAAUUUAAUCAGGACCAUCGCUUUGCGUAGUGCGAAUUAGGUUACUUGUGGAACAUUGUAUGGGAUGGAAAUAUUAGGCUCUGAAACAUUUUGAGGAGAGUAUAAAAAGGUUGAGAGUGACUUUUUACUCUCCUUCAAACUUUUCCCUCUCUACAUCCAAGUAUAAGAGUUCAUACGUUUCUCAAGAUUCAACGGAGUUUACCAACUUCCUCCUUUCAACCUUUUUGUGUAGUGCAUUUGCUUCAUUUUCUCGUUAUUACUUUUACUAGGUUGGUGUUUUUCCUCUUUUAUUACUUCCUUUUUUAUGUUUCCAAUAUUUGUACUAAAAUGCAUGCGGUUUUAGGAUAUAAGGCAGAAGUAAGGUAAUUUGUAGCUGAUAGAGGUGGUGGUUUGUGGUAGUUUUUUAGCAUUUCUUGCGUAGAACGACAGUAUGGACACCACAAAACUGUCUUUUGGUUUGUUAACUAAUGUUUAAUAGGAGAUAUAGCACAAGGGUUUUAACUAAUAACCACCGUGAGUCGCGUGGCGCCUCCAUGAGUGGUGGUACCAUUUUUAGAAAUGCAAACUUUUAUUUUUAUUUUUAUAUUUAUUCUUCGUGAGGACGAUCUGACUCUUGCUCGCUGAAAUCGAACUAAUUGGAGAAGGAAGAGUUGAUUCAAAUGUCGAAUCCACUUUUUUGCCUCUUUCCCUUUCAGGUUUGAUAUGGAUAACAAACAUAAUUGGAUGCCUCCUAGAAAGGGGAUGAACCCUAAAGCAGUGGAAGAAGUUAUUCAGCAUUUUUGUGGAUUCCAUUUGGAGAAUCAAGGAUAGAUACCUCCUUGUUAGGCCAAAGAACGAUGGCACCUCGAACAACAUUUUGAAGGCGGAGAGUCACGUUCAGGAGGAUGGCACUCUAGUCCCUAAACAUGUUCCCUCUUUCCCUCUGUACUGGUGUAAAGACCACUUUAGACUAUUGUCGACAAGAAUGGGAAUGUUAUGCAUGACUAUGAAGGUUCCAUGAUAGAUUUACAAGAAACUAUCAGGAGGUUGAGCAAGAAUGGAUCCCAAAAUCCAGCUAGGGUCAAGAAGAGGGACCCUUAAAGUCUCAACACCCUGCUCUCAGGUACUAUGGGUUCGUCUUCCCUUGUGGUCUCCCUGACCAACACAUCAACACAGGUUGAACAACUAGUGUACUUGCAGUAGAUGACGAUCAAAAUGAAUGGAUCCCUCACCAUGAUUUUAACAAUGGUGUGGCCAGAGUAAAGGAGAUUUAUCUACUACCGGGAUCCACUUUUUGAAGGAAAGUAUAGAUGGAAAGUUCUGACCAAAUAGAUCAAGGCUGAAGGCGAGGGAUAAGAUGACCAGCCAUAGAUGCCCAUGUAAUUUUUCUUUUUCUUAUGGGAUUUGUAAUAUUUGAUGUAACCGGGCGUAAUGCUCAUAACAUUGUGUGGCUUACACCUAUUUUUGUACAAUCUAAAUAUUUUGUUCUUUUACGUUCCAUUUGCUUUGUA